UUCUUCAUUUACUUCUGAAUUGCUAUUUCGUCUUGGGAUAUAUUCAAAUAUUAAAUGUUAUUAUAUUCAUUUUUAAUUAUCAAACAAGACAACUUAGGAAUACAGCUUAUUUCAGCGUUGUGUUUAAAUACAUAAAAACUAUCCAAACUAAACUCAGAUUAAAAAAAUCCAAAUGCAUCUUCUGUUGGUUAUCACAUUGGCGGUGUGUCUAAGCUGCGCUGUGGCCAAAUACUGUUCCUUGGUGGGGAAGCGCUACAACCCUGGCGAGGUUCUUACAUUCGGCAAAUGCAACAGCAAAUGCACAUGUCGAGGGGAUAAGUUCGAAUGUGAGAUAAAGCGUUGCCGUGGUGACAUCACGUGGUGCUAUCACAUGGGCAAGAUAUACGACUCAGGCGAGCAGAUCCUAGACGACUGUAAUGAAUGCAUUUGUGCUGGGCCUGACAUUGAAUGUACAGAAAUGGAAUGUGAUUAUUAAACAGACUGACCACCAAAUAUCUAACGUAAACGCUUAUAUGUAGAGCUUUUGUGAAACACCUACUGUAGUUAGUGGACUGUAAAGAAAUAAGAAAGUUUAUCCUGCACAUGAAUUCUUUACAAAAAAAAAAUAAACAUAUUUU